AAAUUGAAGAGUUUGAUCAUGGCUCAGAUUGAACGCUGGCGGCAGGCCUAACACAUGCAAGUCGAGCGGCAGCGGGAAAGUAGCUUGCUGCUUUUGCCGGCGAGCGGCGGACGGGUGAGUAAUGCCUGGGAAAUUGCCCAGUCGAGGGGGAUAACAGUUGGAAACGACUGCUAAUACCGCAUACGCCCUACGGGGGAAAGCAGGGGACCUUCGGGCC
rnacentral:rRNA from 1 species